rnacentral:rRNA from 1 species
UAGUAACGGCGAGUGAAGAGGGAAAAGCUCAAAUUUUGAAUCUGGUGUCUUUGGCGCCCGAGUUGUAAUCUAGAGAAGUGUUUUCUGCCUCGGACCACACAUAAAUUCCCUGGAAUGGGGUGUCAUAGAGGGUGAGAAUCCCGUUUGUGGUGUGGACUACCUUGGCUCUGUGAUACACUCUCAACGAGUCGAGUUGUUUGGGAAUGCAGCUCAAAAUGGGUGGUAAAUUCCAUCUAAAGCUAAAUAUUGGCGAGAGACCGAUAGCGAACAAGUACCGUGAGGGAAAGAUGAAAAGCACUUUGGAAAGAGAGUGAAACAGUACGUGAAAUUGUUGAAAGGGAAGCGUUUGAAGUCAGUCACAUCGGUUGGAAUUCAGCCUGGCUUUGCCUGGUGUACUUUCUGGCAGAUGGGUCAGCGUCAAUUUUGACUGAGGGAAAGAGACUUGAGGAAUAUGGCUGUCUUUGGGCAGUGUUAUAGCCUCUUGUUGUAUGUCUCAGUUGGGAUUGAGGACCGCAGCACGCCUUAUGGCCGGGGUUCGCGCCCUCGGAACGUGCUUAGGA